GUUGAUGUAUCUCUUUAGUUUGACAGGUGGCACCCCCUAAAAUUCAACCAGAGGCUGUGGGAGCAGCUUCUAUUUGCUGCCAUCCCUCGGAGACCAAAUGAUUUGUUGCCUCUAAACCAGGAGGUUUAGAGCUGCUUCUAAACCUUCGUAUAUGGGAGCGCUCCUCGGUCCUUCUGGGACUGUUCCCUUUUGCAGAGAGCCUGAGGCACUGCAAAGAGACAAGCUUCAGAGCCGAAAGCUGAAGACAUGCUUCUUGUCACUGCAAAGCUGGUGACAGCUGCUCAGACAGGGAGCUUCCUGUGAUACAUCCACAUAUGUGCGAGGGACUUCAUGGUCGAGUAGCAAUGCUCCCUACCUGAGUCAUUUCCAGGAUCUGAUGUCUGCACGGAACCCUCCCGGCAUGCAGUACAGCACUGGCCAAGGGCAGAGCGUGCAAGCUGCUCCUUUCCCUGCUGCACCGACUUCCAGUUUCUGUUUACACCAGCCCAAUGUCAAACAUCAUAGCAGCAGCUCUGGCGGAAGUUUGGAUGAAGUUGGCAAGGGGGUCCCAAAGCUUCCAGAGAGCUGGAAAGAUGGAUGGCAGGAAAGAACUGGCAAUCAGAUAAAAGCAGAAACAUGGCACAGGAGAGGGAAGGAGAGAUGAGAUGUGCAAAAAGGGUCUUGGCAGAGCCACAGGAGAAGACCCAGCAUGGUUCAGGAGAGGACAUACGCUGCUCACUGGGAAAGGCUUGUGGGUGAGUAUGGAGUCUCUGACCCUGCCAGCCUCCAGUAGUGGCAGACACCUGCUGCUGAUAGGUUUGUUAGCUCAGCCACUCUGCACGCUCAAUCCCUGCCACCAGAGCCUUCCAUAAGGUGGGAGUUUCCUCCCUUUACUGUGAAAGUGAUGGAAUCUCCUGGCUGAGAUCUGCAAGAACAGUGCCUCUGAAUAGUAUCUAUUGCUCUGUGUACAAAAAGAUGACUAAAAGAUCCACAGGAACUUCUUCUCUCUCCUCCCUCCCCACUUUCCUGGUUAAACCCCUAUUCCUUUUGGGAUAUUGGACUUUGAUUCAGGAAAGCAGCCCCAGGUCCCAAGCAGUAUUUGUCCUGGGCACAAGGGCAUCAGAAGCAGAGUCAUGACUGUCAGCAGAACCGGGAAGCGCAGGCCUGCGUGGUCCCUAGGGGGAAAUUAUUUGCUGAUUGCAUCUGUUUCCCAGAAGCAUCACUCCAAUUUAUCCUGGGAUUCACGUUUUUUUCCAGCAAAUAAGCACCUUGGGAGCUUCAUUUCCAUCUCAGAUGUUAAAUUUAGAAGUGGUGCUUCCCCUUCUCCCACCCUCUCCCUGCCCCCUCCCCAAUGGCUCCCGUAUCUCCCCUCCAGCCCCCACCCUCACCUCCAGCUCUCCCUCUUUGUCGCAUUACAUAGUAAUCUGAGAUGCAUUGGCCGAGCUCCAGGGAACAGAAUGUACUUGGCAGGGAGACGGGUCUUGAUGUCUGCAAAAUGUCGGGAAAUGCAGCCAAGAGCUGCUAACUGGGUCAUUAACCUCUAGAAGAAGAGCAAGUUGUGGAGCUGUGCUCUGUCUCCCUUCAUCUCGCCAAUAAAAAUGUCCCAGCAACGAGCGAGGGAAGAAGAGGUUUACAGCUUUAAGUCCUAAGCAGUCAACGCAGCCACCCUCCCUGACCCCCCUUCUCCCUACCCUCUCCCCCAGCGCAGCAUUAAAGCUUAUAAGUGGCCUUUUAAAAACACAGCGAUACCCGCGGAGCUGUCCCUCGGUGCUUGUAAAGAGGCUACUGGAGCAAACCAGUUGCUUCCAGAGGCGUGCUGCUCCUGCACUCGUGGUCAGAGGGGCUCUGAGGAAGGGCCUUUCGGUUGGGUUGCAGCCCUUGUGUGUGGCGGGACAGGGUGCUGCUAUCACUCAUAGACCUGAGCGUCCCAACCUCUUCGCUGUCCCCGUGAGCCGUGUGUCACAUUUCUGGCCACCCCAUCACCAUGAGUUGCCUUUCUACAUUGAGGUGCUCUAGUUGGAAAGAGGUGGCUGGUUUCUCUGUGUGCAGUGAGGUGGGCUGAGGAGGGCGACAAGCACAAACGGCUUAGCCCACAUCACCUGGUGCAACUUGAAAGAAAGCAAAGUUGUUUGCUGACUGCACUGAGGUCUCUGGAAUCUGGAGGGGGGUGGAAGGCAGGCUGUGGGUCCCCCAGAACUGGGACCCACCGUUGUCUGCCCAGAAGAGGUAGCCAAAGAGUGGGGGAGGGAGCUGCAUCUCCCAAAACCUUCCACAACCCAUACCAGCUGUUGGUGGAGCAGACUGCAGGACGAAAGUCAGUGUGGUGCUGGAUGGGAGAGGGGAAGAAAGCGGUUGCAUGGCUGGCCUUCUUCCUCAGAGAUGUGUUGUUUCCAUCCCUCUCCUCUUCCAGAGCAGGCCGUGCCUCAGGAGAUGUUGGCUGGGCUGUCCACAGAACCCCACCACUUACUUCUAUGCCUGAUGCCAUUACAUUGGACUUCCGUGGGUUUUUCCACCCAAGUACACCUUCCCUUUGCCCCUAAUUCAUCCCCCAUUAUAAAAGCAUGUGUAAAAUAUUCUGUCUAGGCAGAAACAGGGGAAAACACUGCCUUCAAAGCUGUAUCUCUCCAGCUGAGCCAGGUGAGACAAGGUGGAAAUGAAGCACAGCCUAGGAGUGCAUAGGGUCCUGCAUAGGGACAGCACGCUGACCUGGAGAUGGCAUUCGGUGCCAUUCCCUGCUCUGUCAGUGCCAAUGCACGGGACAACGAGCAGGACACAGGCAGCGCUUUGUGGCGACAACACCGCAGCAUGAAGGCACCUGGAGGGCGUCCAGUUGUCAGCAGCCUGGAGAAAGACUGGGACAACCUCGGUGGACGCCGAGG